rnacentral:lncRNA from 1 species
ACAGGUGCGCAGCCGCGGGGCGCAGUGGGGCUGCGCGCGGGCGCUCGCGGCCGGCUGGAGGUGCCCGGCGAUCGGCCCCGCUCGAGCGGGGGACACUCACCGAGCGGCUGGAGAGUCUUUUCCGGGAGCUCCGGCUGAACAUGGCCGGACGCCUCCUGCUCGCAGCGCCGUCCGUCGGCAAUACAGUUACUAAAGGAACUUGAAGAGAUCCUCAUACAUAAUUGUCAACACGGGAAGACGCCUUUGCUAUAAUGUAAGGUGGAAAAACAAAACCCGAAUAGACUGUCUGCCUGUAAUUGCUCCUAAAAUAUGCAUCAAGAAACUGGAAAGAAAUACACAACACGUUAAAAUGCCACUGUUUGCAGAAUACAUUCAAAAGUAUUAUAUUGGGACUCCAAGACUCACAGUGAGGUCAGAAAAGGAAACAAACACUCGCUGAAGCUGUGUGACUUCCCCGACACGUAUGCUGAGUGCUCCACCGGAUUGUCUGAAUCCGACCUGCAGACAAGAAAAGAGAAGGUAAAGAGUCAGUGAGGACUGGUGGACGUAUUUUCCCCAGAUUUCAUUGGCACAAGCUUGAGACAUGGCCUCCUUUACUGCAAGAGAACCGGAAAGCAUCAUCUAGCUUUGCGCCUAAGAAGAGGAGAAGCACGGACAUGCAUGAGCCCUUGGGCAUCCCUGUCCCAGUGGCCUUAUCAGAAUUGCAAUACUAUCUCACACUGCAUUCCUUGUAUUCCUAGGAGAACUGGCCAGGCUUCUAAAGAACAUAACCUUACUUUGGAUUAGGCCUCAGAGAUGUUAACUCUUGCUGUCGGUAAGGGUUGACUCAGAUGCAGAAACUCAGACAAUAGUUAACCACUUCACUUGAAAGAGAAAGCCUCAUAUGACAUUCAUCUCAUCAAUGGCAAAGUGUAUGAAAAAGUGAUUCUGUUUUUAUAUUCUAAAUCAGGAGUUGGCAAAUUUUUCUGUACAGGUUCGGAUAGGAGCUAUUUAAGGCUUUGUGGAUCAUACAGUCUUUAUCACAACAACUCAACUCCACAAUUGUAGUACAAAAGUGCCAUAGAUGAAGGAGAGUGACAGUGUUUCAAUAAAGCUUUGUUUACAAAAGCAGGCAGUAGGUCCAGUUUGGUCUAGCAUAGUUUGCUGGCUCCUGCUCUAAGUCUUCACCAGGUCCUCUUCACUUCCUAGCAGACUCACCUUUCUCUUCUUCCUGUCCCCUCCAAAAAAGAAUGGUAAAAAGAAGAAUGGAAAUGUUGGUAUAUGUAGAGAGCCAACAUUUUGCAGUGCUAAGCACUUUACUCAAGUUAAUUUAAUUCUCACAACACCUUGAGUAAGAUUUUUAUGGUUGCCCAUUUACAGAUGAGGAAGCUGACACACAGAGAAAUUAAGUCAUCAGGUUUAGCUCAUGAAGAGACUAAAAUUCUAAGUGUGAUGGCAUAAUUCACUAUAAGUCACUGGUGCAUGAAGCAGUAUUGUUUAAUAUCCCCCAACAUGGUAAUCAGGGAAGAACUUAGCCAUAGACAUUAUCAGAGGGAGGGAACUAGAGUAGGGCAUGGGGAAAAAAAAUACAUACCUGAGUUGGUAGUUGAUGGGAUUUGUUUGUGAACACCUAUGACACAUGUUAGGGGUGGGGAGAUGGCAAGAAGAAUGAGGAGCAAAUGUGUAAACCAUGUAGGGGUCUGUGGUCUUGCAAUGGCAGAUGGGGAAGUCAUUAUUGUGAUGAACACAAGGCUUAUUAAUGUGCAACAGUGCCCAAUUUUAACCCUUUCCUGUCAUUUUCAAUAAAGGGAAUUUUGUCUUUGA